AAUUCUGUUCCCCUGUGAAAAUCUGCCCCCCUGUGUCGGGAGCGCGCAUUGCAACCAGAGAGGCGGAUCUGACCAUUUUCACGGCGCUUCUGAUCGAUUUCUCGUUAUGAAGGGGGAACCAUUCUGGGAAUCAACAAUCAUCACCACCACUGGACUUUAGUGGUGAUCUACCCACAAGAGAAAAAGUCUUUGUCCUUGAAUCCACUGGGGGAAUCAAAACAAGACAUCCAGAAAUGUUUGCAAAUCGCAAGGGCAUUUAUGAGGAAGAAGGGGUGCAAUGUCUCACGUUGGACAUGUGACCCAGUCAAGCAUCCAAAACAACAAGAUAGUUCAUCAUGUGGUGGAUUUUCACUGAAGGUUUCAGACAUAUUGUCACACAGUGUAUGACUUUAGGAUUUUGAUAUAUAUUUUGAGAC